AGAAUUUGAUUCUGGUUCAGAACGAACGCUGGCGGCGUGCUUAAUACAUGCAAGUCGAACGAGAAAUUCCGGGGCAACCUGGGAAAGUAAAGUGGCGUAAGGGUGAGUAAUGCAUAGGUAACUUGCCCUUGAGACUGGAAUAACCUCGCGAAAGCGUGGCUAAUACCGGAUAAUAUCCCGAAACCGCAAGGUAUUGGGAUCAAACACUGCUCGGAAUAGGGUGGUGCUCAAGGAGAGGUCUAUGUCCUAUCAGCUAGUUGGUGAGGUAAUGGCUCACCAAGGCGAUGACGGGUAGCCGGCCUCAGAGGGUGUCCGGCCACACUGGGACUGAGACACUGCCCAGACUCCUACGGGAGGCAGCAGUAGGGAAUAUUGCGCAAUGCCCGCAAGGGUGACGCAGCGACGCCGCGUGGAGGAUGAAGGCUUUCGGGUUGUAAACUCCUGUCAGAUGGGAAGAAACCCCGGUUUAAUAAACCGGGUUGACUUAACCAUCAGAGGAAGCACUGGCUAACUCCGUGCCAGCAGCUGCGGUAAUACGGAGAGUGCAAGCGUUGUUCAGAUUUACUGGGCGUAAAAAGCAUGUAGGCGGUCAGGUCAAUCAGGUGUGUAAUACCUCGGCUUACCCGAGGAAGUGCAUUUGAUAUUGCCUGACUUGAGGACGGAAGAGGAGAGCGGAAUUCUUGGUGUAGCGGUAAAAUGCGUAGAUAUCAGGAGGAACACCUGAGGCGAAGGCGGCUCUCUGGUCCGUUUCUGACGCUGAGAUGCGAAAGCUAGGGGAGCAAACGGGAUUAGAUACCCCGGUAGUCCUAGCCGUAAACGAUGGAUACUAACCGGGGGUACCUGCCAAGGUAUCUCUGGCUCAGCUAACGCAUUAAGUAUCCUGCCUGGGGAGUACGAUCGCAAGAUUAAAACUCAAAGAAAUUGACGGGGGCUCGCACAAGCGGUGGAGCAUCUGGUUCAAUUCGAUCCUACGCGAAGAACCUUACCAGGGUUUGACAUGCUGGUAGUAGAAGCCCGAAAGGGUAACGAUUCUGGAGCAAUCCAGGAAGCCAGCACAGGUGUUGCAUGGCUGUCGUCAGUUCGUGUCGUGAGAUGUUGGGUUAAGUCCUAUAACGAGCGAAACCCUUGCUUUUAGUUACCCUAAUUUUAAUUAGGGGUCUCUAAAGGGACUGCCCCGGUUAACGGGGAGGAAGGUGGGGAUGACGUCAAGUCAGCAUGGCCUUUAUGCCCUGGGCGACACAGGUGCUACAAUGGUCGGUAUAAAGGGUUGCCAAAUCGUAAGAUGGAGCUAAUCCUUCAAAAGCCGAUCUCAGUUCGAAUCGAGGGCUGAAAUUCGCCCUCGUGAAGCUGGAAUCGCUAGUAAUCGCGGAUCAGCCAUGCCGCGGUGAAUAUGUUCCCGAGCCUUGUACACACCGCCCGUCAAGCCACCCAAGCACGGGGUACCUGAAGAUGUUUUAUCCAACCCGCAAGGGAGGAGAACACCCAAGGUAAAACGUAUGAGGAGGGCUAAGUCGGAACAAGGUA
rnacentral:rRNA from 1 species